GCCUUGUCUGAGCAUGAAGCACAGGAGGAGCCUCAGACCGGGUUUUGGGAAGUUGAAACAGAAGAGAUAAGUUGUGGCCCGGCUGUUUUCUGUGGGCUUGGUGUGAGUCCUUGACUUCUUGGAGCUUCUGCAGGAACAUUUUACUAACAAACAUAAACGCUCAACCCGGGAGAAGCUUCGUUAGUCUGGUUUCCGUCUUGUGAGGAAACAUGCACAUUCACCAUGUGUUUUGUUUGGUUUUCUCUCUUUUCAGUCCAGUUUUCUCCAAUGAAGAUUACUACCAGGUCAGAGCAUGUUGUACAUACAAGGGCCCACACUUUGAAGAUAUAGAGUAUAUACUUAUAGGUAGUUUUAAUAAACACAUUAUGAUGGAGUACAACAGCACAAGAGGCAACUGGACUGGAUUCUCGCCUUAUUCACUAUUGUUGUCAAAACUUUGGAACGGUGAUCCAUAUGAUGGACUUGAAAGAAAAUUUGAAAAGAAAAUGUUGUGUGAAGCCAAUGUACACUAUUUCCAAAGCCUAGGAAAUCUCUCAACAACCCCCACUGUCAACAUUAAGUUAGUGAAGCAGCCCAGCAGUGGACACCCAGCCAUGCUUGUAUGCAGCACCUAUAACUUCUACCCAAAGCAAAUCAGGAUGACGUGGUUGCGAAACAAACAAGAAGUAAUAACAGGAGUCAGUUAUUCUGAUGUGAUGGCUGAUGGGGAAUUUUACUACCAGAUGCAUUUAUUCCUGGAGUACACUCCGACUUCAAGAGAAAACAUCACCUGCAUGGUUGAACACUUCAGUCUUUCUGAACCAAAAAUUGUGGUCUGGGAUGACUCCCUCCCUGCUGAAGCACAAAUUCAAAUUACUGUUGGAAUGUGUGGACUCAUCUUUGGUUUAAUUAUUCUGAGCUCUGGAUUGAUUUAUUAUAAGAAAGAAUCUGUUGUACAUGUUACAUUCUGCCGAGCAACACAAAGAUCGAUUCCUGUGGAACACAUCCCUACAGUGGGAGCAACGGCGCCGCUUUAACAAACACCAUUACUAUAUAAACAAUCCAUGAUGUUCUGAAUAUAUGUCGUAUGUUGGGCUUUGGUUGCUUGGAGAUGAGGUUCAGCUUCUUAGCUUUCUGCUGCACAUUCUUCUUAAAAAUACAUGUGGUAACUUUUCGUAUUUAGUAUAGAAAUAAUUUAGCGAAGCUUAACAGUACAGCAUAUAGCAUGCAUAUUAGUUGAAGUAGAAUUACUUUUUAUUAUUGUUCCUAUUGCAUACUCAUCAGUUACACUCUAAAGAAAUAACAGCAGCAUUUAAUUUUGUUCAAGUUUUGUUUUCUGUACAUUUUAAUGUGGUUCACUCUUUGUAGCCCAAAAGCAGUCUGGAAAGUUUUCCAGACUGGGAAAAGAGCAUGCAAUACCAUCCAAAUCAAUUGUAGUAACAUAAUGAGUGUUCAAGUGUAAUUUAGUGAGGGAAAAAUAUGGACGUUUUACAGGGUUUCCAUCGAGUAAUCUUUUGAACACUGAAGUAAUUUUUUUCAUGGUGUCAGCCUGAGCCAGAGAGAAGCCGGACACAAAUGCAGAGGGGCUGUCCAGGCGACGUUGGAACAACAGAACAAUCACAGAUUGGUCAUGCCGACCGAAGCUGAGUGGGGGAAACUGCAGAGGCUGGAGGUCCUGCUUGAACCAUGCAGGUACGUGACUGAGCUGCUGGGUGGUGAGGGAAAGGGCAGUACGGUGAAACGAGACAUGGUACAUGGUGGCCACAGCACAGGAUCUACGUUUUAAGGAUUUGAAAUGUCUUCCAAGAGAAAAGAGGGAACAGGUAUGGACCAGUCUGGAGAGCAUGCUCCAAGCAGCAGAGCCCAGAAGAGCAGUGACUCUCCAGCCCCCCCACAGAAGAUGAUGAACCAGCUCAGAAGAAGAGGAGGAGCGUUCUCCUGCUGGGGUCUGACUUUGAUUCAGAAGAAGAUGGAAUGGAGUCUGGAGAGAUGCAGCGCUACAGAGCAGAGCCCAGCAUCAAUAUUGAUGACUGUCCCCUGUAGCGGUGGUAUGCUCACUCAGGAGCCUAUGAAAAGCUGUCAGUCCUGGCAAGCAAGUACCCUGCCUCCCCCGCAACAUCUGUGCCUUGUGAGAGACUGUUUAGCCUUGCAGGCCACAUAGUGCAAAAUAAAAGGUCGGCCUUGCUCCCAGAAAAUGUGACCAAGCUAGCCUGUCUUAGCGACUGGUUGAAGAAGAAAUAAGAGGCAAGAGGUCAGCAUAGCUGCUUUGUCUUCUGUAGCCAACUAGAAUUGAUGGCUUGAUGGUAUUUCAGCACUUUAAUUUGGGAUGAUGAACAAUGUUAUUUUUGAUGUGCUAACUUACAGUACUGUGAUUGAUGGGUCUUUAAUUUUUAUCUGAAGCUGAAGGGAAGCAAAAAAAUUCAGUGUUCAAUACUUGUAUAGCUCAGAAAGUGUUCUUGUUUUUUGAUGUGUUAACUACAGCACUUCAUAUGGACCUUUUUUUUUUUUUUUUUUGUUUUAUUUUCAUUUUCGAGUUAUUUGGAGAUUGACAAAACAGUA